rnacentral:rRNA from 1 species
UUAUGGCUCAGGAUGAACGCUAGCGGCAGGCUUAACACAUGCAAGUCGAGGGGCAUCGGGAGUAGCAAUACUUGCCGGCGACCGGCGCAAGGGUGCGUAACGCGUGAGCAACAUGCCCGUAUCAGGGGGGAUAAUCCAUGGAAACGUGGUCUAAUACCCCAUAGUAAUUAUGUAAGGCAUCUUAUAUAAUUUAAAGCUUUGGUGGAUACGGAUUGGCUCGCGUGACAUUAGCUAGAUGGUAAGGUAACGGCUUACCAUGGCUACGAUGUCUAGGGGUUCUGAGAGGAAGGUCCCCCACACUGGAACUGAGACACGGUCCAGACUCCUACGGGAGGCAGCAGUGAGGAAUAUUGGACAAUGGAUGGAAAUCUGAUCCAGCCAUGCCGCGUGCAGGAAAGACGGCCCUAUGGGUUGUAACUGCUUUUGUAUGGGAGCAAUAAGGGCUACGUGUAGUCCGAUGAGAGUACCAUACGAAUAAGCCACCGGCUAACUCCGUGCCAGCCGCAGC